rnacentral:misc_RNA from 1 species
CAUAAAAACAAUAAUAUCAAUAUAUGGAUAUAGAUUAAUAUCUCGAACGAAAAAGUCAAGAAUUCAAAAUCUGUUGUGAUAAGCAGAGAAAUGCACAACCGGGGGACCACUAACAUAUUUACAUUUGCUGCUGAUCGUAAUUACGAGUACCAAACAAAACUGAGAACACCAGGAACACAGAACAACAGACUAAACCAGCAAAUCAGCGCGGCAAGCGACCGCACCGCACGCACGUUCGAUCGAUCAGCCAACAACAACAACGCCACCUAAAUCGAGGAACGAGCAACAGAGCAGACUCACCCCGCGAUCGCCUUCACGGCCUCACGCUGUCCCGCCAAUCGCCGCCGGGGCGGGGCUUCCGGCUCCGCAGCGCCUUGAUCUUUCCUGCGAUGAGCCUCCCCCAUCGAGGCCGGCGCUCCGAGGCCGGCGCCGUCGUUGUCACCGACCUCGACCUCGCCAAUGCCACCGCCUCGUCGUACUCCUGCUCCACGUCCCUGCAGCCCGCGGCCGGCGGUGGCGGCGGCGGCGGCUUCCGGAAGGACACCCAGGCCCACACGCCGGACCUGGGGCGCCGCUGGUCGCCGACGGCUCCGUGCGCGGCGACGGAGCGCGACCGCUCGACCCGGCGCUCCCGCUCGAUGAGGCUGUGGACCCGGCCCAGCGCGCUGGCGCCCGAGGACGAGGACGAAGGCGACGACGACGCGCAGGAGCAGGCGCAGGGCCGCGGGCAGGCGCAGUCCGGGCACAGGCGCAGGAGCCGGUCGCGGAGGCAGUGCGGGCACACGCCGCCGCCGGCCGAGGGCGGGUGCCUCCGGCAGCGCCACUCGUCCAUCGCGCUCGAUCCGUUCCGUGCGGGUUUGGAGGGCUGUGCGUCCGCUCGCGAUCGCGGGACAGAGAGACGCCCGGGAGGCAGAGGAGCGGCCGCCCG